rfam:Sus scrofa isolate TJ Tabasco breed Duroc chromosome 13, whole genome shotgun sequence.
GUCUACGACCAUACCACCCUGAACGCUCCUGAUCUCAUCUGAUCUCGGAAGAUAAGCAGGGUCAGACCUGGUUAGUACUUGGAUGGGAGAACUUAGAGAAAGUUCUGGUCCAAGCUA